UCUUGGCCACAGGGUCUGUUAGGUAUACACCACACUGUUUCUCCGGAAACUUAAGUGGCUUCCUUUGUGCAUCAGAGAUUUGGGGCAGAGCUGCUGCAAUGCUAGUGGCAGAAGGCAAUGAGAAAAAGGCAAUGUUAGCAAAGGAAAAAGAGGUCUUCACGUGUAUGAAGAGCAUAAGCACAUCAUUUUGAGAUUCAUUUUGCUUUAUAUACUUAUUAAAACAUGGUAUUAGCUUCUCAGAAAACUCAAAAAGGCUAGAAUGGCACAGAACUUGAUCUGACGGUGUCUGAGGAGCAGCUACACCAGGAUUUUAAAAUAGCAAAAUGCUAGUCAGCUCUACUUGAAAAGCUAAAAGGAAUGCCCUAACAAGUGCCCACGCUCUCAACUUCCUUCCCAAGAAGGCUCAUUUACAUUAUAAUGGUUGCCAAGGUUACUUUAAUUCCAUCACAGCUCCUUUCUCCAGUUGCUAAUCUGGAGCACCGGACUGGGUGGUACACAUUAACAACCAAAACCUCAAUUAAGGCUAACCCCAAACUCAGGCUACUCAAAAGUUCGUGACCUACAAAAAGAAGAGUAGUUCUAGCAACAAAAAUUGCAAAAAGACCCACACACCCACAGAGGACUCAGUAUGAGUCCUCCACGUAGGUGCAGUAUUUCUGGAUCUUCCAAUCCUGGGCAGAUUCACGCAUCGAGGAGUGUGUCCGUUAGUACCAAGAGGAACUGAACAUGGAAUUCUGCUUAACCAGCAACCUAGGAUGCAAACUCCUAAGAGAUAAUAAGAGAAUGACUUUUCCAUCCAAGCAUGAUAAGUACAUCAAACUGAAAAUGAUGCCCAGGAACAAGCAGUUCCAGAAACAGGAAUUCAAAUAAAAAUGGCUUUGCAACAUU